CGCCUGUUUAUCAAAAACAUCGCCUCUUGCUAAUAAUAAGAGGUCCAGCCUGCCCAGUGAACAUUCAACGGCCGCGGUACCCUAACCGCGCAAAGGUAGCAUAAUCACUUGUUCCUUAAAUAGGGACUAGUAUCAACGGCACCACGAGAGUCGCACUGUCUCCUCCCUCUAAUCAGUGAAACUGAUCUUCCCGUGAAGAAGCGGGAAUAAAAUUAUAAGACGAGAAGACCCCAUGGAGCUUUAAACCUUCAACAACUUAAUAUUAUAUCUCCCUAUAACUAUAAGCCUUGCCCACGGUUUUAGGUUGGGGCGACCGCGGAGCAAAAACUAACCUCCCUGACGAAAAGAACUAAAUCUUUAUCCAAGAGCUACCCCUCUAAGAAUUAGCACACUAACGCACACGACCCGAUAAUCGAUCAACGAACCAAGUUACCCUGGGGAUAACAGCGCAAUCUACUUCAAGAGCUCAUAUCGACAAGUAGGCUUACGACCUCGAUGUUGGAUCAGGGUAUCCUAGUGGUGCAGCCGCUACUAAUGGUUCGUUU
rnacentral:rRNA from 1 species